rnacentral:rRNA from 1 species
UACGAAGGGUGCAAGCGUUACUCGGAAUUACCUGGGCGAUAAAGCGUGCGUAGGUGGUUUGUUAAGGUCUGAUGUGAAAGCCCUGGGCUCAACCUGGGAAUUGCAUUGGAUACUGGCAGGCUAGAGUGCGGUAGAGGAUGGCGGAAUUCCCGGUGUAGCAGUGAAAUGCGUAGAGAUCGGGAGGAACAUCUGUGGCGAAGGCGGCCAUCUGGACCAGCACUGACACUGAGGCACGAAAGCGUGGGGAGCAAACAGG